rnacentral:sRNA from 1 species
CAGGAACACCGCUUAUCUUGGAUUAAGGACCAUCAUCACCAUCGCCAUUAUGCAUUUCAUGUUGUCCCAAAAUAGCGAUGGCAAUGGAGGUUGGAUUGAUUUAAAAGAUAUAAAAACAUUGAAAUAGAAGAGGCAGACAACUUACUGAGAAAGAAAAUUAAGCCGAGAAUCGAGACAACCAUAUAUAGUUAACGGCUAUAUCCCAAAGUAGUGGAGACAGUGCGGCUGCUUCGGGUGUUUCUCUGCUAUGCCAUCUUUGUAGAUCUACA